GUCCCCGAACCCACACUCACACGGUGGAGGGGAGAACUGACCUCUGACCUUCACACACUCUCAAAGGCAAGCAGGCACACCCCCUCCCCUAUACACACAGAUACAGAAAUAAAUAAAGUCAACAGGGUAGAUACAAAGAUAGAUACAGAUGGAUGUAGUUCAGUUGGAGGGACAUUUGCCCGGCAGAGCUACACGCACAGGUGUGGUGCCUGCCUGCAAUUCUAUCACUAAGGAGGUGGGAGCAGAAGGAGCAGGAGUUCGUGGACAUCCUUGAGGCAGCCAGCUCACCCCUUCAGACUUGGUGCCAGGCGGAUCACCAGCUGGGGCGGUUCACCGGCUUCUGAAUGACUUCUGAAUGCAGCGUUCAUGAAGGACACUUUCCUAAGAUACCGCGCUUUUGUGACGUCAAACUAGCUAGCCAG